CCCUUGCAGCUGCCCUCCUUCUUAGGUUCCCUAGCCGACAGCGACAGAGGAAGGGUAAUGGUCACUGGCCAUCACCAGAUACACCCAGCUUCCUGCCUCUGGCCACCGGGGGCUGUACCCCUAGUCCCUGUAGGGGGUGGGGCCCUGUGACUGGUUCUGGCCAGCGAGUGUGGACGCAGCAAUGUGUGUCACCACUGGGAGAUUUCACAGCCGUGCAGCUUUGCCACAUCCAGUCUCUGCCAUUGUGCAGUUGCAGUCAGGACAGGGCUUCUGUCAGCCCGAGCCCCCGAGGGUGACCAGGACCAGAGUCCUCUGGGCUGAUCCAUGUGGGACAUGCCGUAGAAGAGGAAUAAAACUCUUAAGAUGCUGGGAACUGCUUUUACUUCUGCUUGUCUCCGCCUACCUUGAUGGAUGAAGUGAAUAAAGCCAGGGUGAAGGGACUCCCUUCACCCCCGGGGCCUGGGUGGGGGUAAGACUUGGGUGCAGGAAAAUCAGGUAUAGGGCUGAGAUGGGUCUUCUCCAUUCUCCUAGUUCUUUUUUUUUUUUUUUUUCUGUCUUUUUGCCUUUUCUAGGGCUGUUCCCGCGGCAUAUGGAGGUUCCCAGGCUAGGGGUCUAAUCGGAGCUGUCGCCACUGGCCUACUCCACAGCCACAGCAAUGCCAGAUCUGAGCUGAGUCUGCGACCUACAUCACAGCUCACGGCAACGCCAGAUCCUUAACCCACUGAGCGAGGCCAGGGAUUGAACCCACAACCUCAUGGUUCCUAGUCAGAUUCUUUAACCACUGAGCCACUAUGGGAACUCCCCAUUCUCCUAGUUCGAAGGCGCUCCUGCUUCCCUGAGGGGCCGCCAGGUAUCCUCACACGUAACUUAGUGGCCGGUUGGGCAGCUGAGGCCCUGGCUCUGAGCUCAGCAACUUCAGUGAGGGUCACGUGCUAACUCUACUUCCCAGGAGUCGCCCUGUGGCUACAGAACUUCAGGCUUGUGUAGGAGUCAGAGGACUGACAGUCUGCAGCGCCAGUGGUCAGGCUCAGUGGCCUCCUUGGAGUUUCAGGCCAGUGGGAGACAAGAAAGCCAGUUGGCCAUGAGUGGAAAGUGCUGUUCUUAUUAAGACAAUAAAAGGAGGCAAUGGGAUAGAGAGGGUGGGGAAGGCUGCUUUAGCUGGAUGGCGGGGGACGGCCUCUCGGAGGCGGUGAUGUAUAUAGAGUUGGGACUUGCUGGAUGAGUCGCCAGCCGAGCGGGAAAGCGUGCCAGGCAGAGGGUGGGGGUACUCAUGGCCUUGGCUGUGCAAGUGGUUUCACAUCCGUACGCGAUACCAGAUGGUCAGUGAGCACCCACGAUGUGCCAGACCCUGUCCUGGGUGCCCGGGGGAGAUGUCAUUCAUCGCUGUGAACAGGGGACAGGGCUGUGGCCCUUAAAGUUCACGUGCCGUGAUCCUGGUUGAUCUGCCAAAUGCCUUCCACACCGAAUCUAGAUCCUCCUCACGGCAGGCUGGACAGCGGCACCAUCGUUCCCCCCAUCACCUGGGAUACAGGACUGAGGGUCAGAGGGAUUAAGUGACAACCCACAUGGUACGUGGGGAUGCUGGGACUGAACAGGCGGCCUGGCUCUGAAGCUCCUGGCCUUCCUAUGAGGCUGUCCUGCCUCCCUCACUAGAGCAGACAUGGCGCAGUGAGGCCUGGAAGGGGGGACCCCUUGUGAGCAGUGGGCCAUCCCCUGGCCAUGGGGAAGGAGGGCCCCAGGGCAGACAGCAAUGGUGGGGGAGUGUUUGGUGGGGAGGGCGCUGGGCUAGGGAAGCCCCAGAGGGCACUUUAGGCAUUUCCACAGGCAGUAGAUCAGGCUGCUCCCUGAGUGCCCCCAGAGCCCCCCGACCUGUGUAGGGAGUGUUGGCCUUUCUUCCCUGGGCAGCUGGGGGAGGGGAGGGCAGGUGAAAGCACGAAAAGGGACGGAGAGUCCUGAGGCUCCAGUGGCUACUGACUCUGCCUGGCUGUGCCUCUCCAUGUCCUGAACCAAAUGCCUGUAGGGUCUGCUGCAGCCCCCGGCUGGGGACGGCCUUCUGGCAUAGCUGUCCUCCCAAGCCCUGGGCAGAGCAGUAUGACACGUGGGUCACUGCGACGUGAAAAUCUCCCAGACCCUCCUCUAUAAGCACCAUCCGCCACGUUGAUAAACAUGUGGAAAUUUGCGCAUAAGCGCAGAAGGUUCUCCUUUGUCUGGAGAGCGUCACGGACCAAGUCAUCCCCCUGGACCUUCCUGCCUGGGCAAAGGGUCCAUGAGCGGUGGCUUCAGGUUGUCUCCUCUGACCUAUUGCUUCUCUCGGAAGGAAGGGUGUGCUCGGUGUGACCCCCGUGGGAGAGCCAUCCUCGCUUGUGGGGGACAGAGCCAGGAGACCCUGGGGGUGGAGACAGGGGCCUGGGAGAUGCUGUCCCCGUGGUGACCACCUGCAGAUUGACAGUCUCCGUGCUGGCUGCCUCCAGCCGAGAAACAAGAUGUGCUGAGAAGGAGGGAGGCAGCAGGAUGUUGCAAGAACGGGCAAGAGCGGAGGAUGAGGGGCCUUGGGGACCACGGGUAACUGGAGACUAGGCUUGAGAGUAAUAACAGGAUCGGUGGACUUGAACCAGAGUGGAAAGGCCAAGGGGCGGACCGUCCCACCUGGGAACUGGCCCCUGGGCUGUGGGCAGAUUCAAGAACCCCAUCGGCAGAGGGCCCAAGCUUGAUGUUGGGGUCCCCUUUCUUCUCCCUCUUAACAUUGCAUCCUCCUUUUGGGGUCCUGACCUUCCCCUCGGGCACAUGCCAUCAUUUGGAUCUCUUUCUUGUCUUUCACUGUGGACAAGAUUUAACGAAUGAGCCCUCAGACUCCUGCGUGUCUCAGACCAUAGGGAGGAUCAGGGCGAGGCCAGAGGGAACGGGCCGGAGACCACCGCGCAGACCAUGCUGAAAGCGUAUCUUUGCCUAGACACUCUCCAUGGUUAGUGGCACCUGCGUCAUCACACUUGAACCUCAGAUGGCCCUGUAAACACCCUACUUUACAGAUGAGAAACAGAUGAGAGCAGAAAGUCUUCGGGAGGAUCAAAUCCACUAGCCUAGAAAGAUGCAAGCCCUCCCCUCUCUCCAUCACAUUUCCCUGCUCCACGAUGGAUCUCUCACCAAGGAGUUUGUGUCUGGCUGAACUGCUUUUUGUGUAAUUGUCCAGUGGCGCCUUCGAGAAAAGACUUGGGACAAUUUAUAGGAGACGUUGGCUCGAUUGCAGUCACUUGUGGCUGAUAAGAUGUGUAAAUGUGUUCACUUCCGCAGCAUUUGGUCUGUGGUUCGAGCUGAGUGGAUGACAGGAAAUGCAGUAAAGCUACAUCCACACACACUAAGGGAACCAAACACAGCCUGGCUUGCAAACGUGCUGAAGGAGCUGGCCUCCGAGCCUUCGCAGACUCUUUGGAAUGAAUCAGGUCUCCAAGAACAUCUGUUUUGGUGUGUUGUCCAUUUUGCACUUAGUUUCUGCAUAAUGGCAGUGGUUGGGAAAUCAAAACGAUCUUUGGAGCUGCAAGCCUGUGGAAAUUGCGUUGAGUCAGACUUGCUGCAGAAAGAGACAUCCGCCUAAUUUUCACUGAAGAGGUCGUUAGGUGGGGUCCUGUCUGCUGCAGUCCGCUGGGGAAUUUAAUCCACACAGGCUCUCAGGCUUGGUAUCCUGAAAUUUCAUGCCAUUGUGCUUUUAUCCUAAGGAUGCGAAUGCCGUGUCUGAGCACCUGUGCAAGAAGGAGAGGGGUGGAAGGCAUGGGGCCCAAGCAGCUGCUCUGACAGCAGCUGGGAAGGAAGGUGAGUGGAGCAAGUUUGGGUGAGGACACUGGCUUGUGGGCUGGAGCCCCACCUAUGGAAGCGUCAAGACCUUCAGGGGUUCCCUUUCUCCUCCAUCCCUUUCCUCCUCACUCAUGGCCCUGGUUGCCCUCUUGGUUCCUUCUUGCGUCAUGAGCAUGGCAGGGCCAGGCACACCUGCUUCCUUACACACCGGCUCUUUCCUCUGUCCCCAUGGCACGGGCCCUGCCCUCUGCAUGGCUUACUCUCCUCUCCCUCUCAGCUCAGUGUCCCCUCCUCAGAGAAGCCCUCCAUGACUACCUUGUCCAAAAGAACCCCACGUUUCUUCUCCCUUUUCCAUGCUUGCUCUUUAUUGCAUUUAUCUUUUUUUUUUUUUUUUCUUUUUUCGGCUUUUGUCCUUUUAGGGCCGCACUCGCGGCAUAUGGAGGUUCCCAGGCUAGGAGUCCAAUCGGAGCUGUUGCUGCCGGCCCACACCACAGCCACAGCAACACCAAAUUCGAGCCGUGAAUGCCUACACCGCAGCUCACGGCAACGCUGGAUCCUUAACCCACGGAGCAAGGCCGGGGAUUGAACCACAACCUCAUGGUUCCUAGUUGGAUUCGUUUCUACUGUGCCACAGUGGGAACUCCUAUCGUUAUCAUUUUUGAUAAUGUUUAUUUAUUUGCUGACUUGUUUACUGUAUACUGCCUUGUUGGUAUGUGGGCUCUGUGAAGGCAGCCAGGGCCUGUCUCUGAGUGGCUUCCAUUCUAUGAGGAUGAAUAGAUCAGGCUGUGGUUGCCUGGAAAGCAUGUUGGGACCCUAUAGUCGGAGAGAGGAGGGCCCAGGGCUGGAGCUGGAGAGAUGGAGUGGGGUGGGGGUGGGCUGGGGCUGAGGGGGCCUGGAGUUUGGCUCUGAGGGCCGGACAGAUCCCGGCAGGGGAGUCGUGCUCAGAGCCCCUCAGAGUUUCCACACUCGCCUGGCAGUUGUCCUGACCUGGCAUUUCCCAAAGGGAUUUCAGGUGGAACGUUCUGAAAUAAAAUAUAUAUAUAUUUUUCACAGUGAAGUUUUUUUUUAAUGUAUUAGGGGAAACAUAUGUAACUCAUGAAUUAAGACUCUAAUUUUAUACAUAUUGCAUAAGAGGAAACUAAAGUAUUUGAGGUUUUCUUAAGCCUAAUUCAGGGAAAAGGCUAAAGCAGGAGUCUCAACACUGUGACCUGCUGACCAAAUCCAGGCCCCCCCCCCUUUGUACAUAAAGUUUUGUGUGCAUGUUAGUUUAAUACUCUCUAUAGCUGCUUUGGUGCUACAAUGGCAGAGUUAAAUAGUUGUGACAACUACCACUGGAUCUGCAAAACCUAAAAUAUUUUUUAUCUGACUCUUAUAGUAAAAGUAAAUAAUUUUCAAAAAUCACUGAGAUUUGGAGUUCCCGUUGUGGCUCAGUGGUUAACGAAUCCGACCAGGAGCCAUGAGGUUGCUUGUUCAAUCCCUGGCCUUGCUCAGUGGGUUAACGAUCCGGCGUUGCCGUGAGCUGUGGUGUAGGUUGCAGAUGUGGCUCAGAUCCCACUUUGCUGUGGCUCCGGCGUAGGCUGGCGGCUACAGCUCCGAUUUGACCCCUAGCCUGGGAACCUCCAUAUGCCGUGGGAGCGGCCCAAGAAAU
rnacentral:lncRNA from 1 species